AUUGAACGCUGGCGGCGUGCUUAACACAUGCAAGUCGUGCGGUAACAGGCGUAGCAAUACGUGCUGACGAGCGGCGAACGGGUGCGUAAUACAUGGGAAUCUGCCCUUUAGUGGGGAAUAACCCGGCGAAAGCCGGGCUAAUGCCGCAUAAGAUCUUCGGAUGAAAGCGGGGGAUCGUAAGACCUCGCGCUGAUGGAUGAGCCCAUGUCGGAUUAGCUAGNGGUGAGGUAACGGCUCACCAAGGCGACGAUCCGUAGCUGGUCUGAGAGGACGGCCAGCCACACUGGGACUGAGACAC
rnacentral:rRNA from 1 species